AUGUUCACUUCGAAGCUGCAUAACCUGUGCCAAAAGCUGCGGUGGCCGGCGCCGGCCAACGCCGACCGGCGCGAGGGCCCGGACCACGCGCCGACUUUCCAUGCCACCGUGGCCGUCGGCCCCGCCGUGUUUCGCUCGCCGGCGGCACCCAGGCCCCGCACGCGCAAGCAGGUGCGGGAUCUGGCCGCCAGGGCAGCCUUCGAGGACCUCGCCGGCUGGGAAGCCCCUCCGCAGCUACUGCCCGAAACACAAGUUCCUUACAAGUGUCAGUUGCAAGAUUAUGCUCAGAAGAGACAGAAAGAUUUACCGUUGUAUCACACCAUUCAGAGUGGUCCACUUCACCUGCCAAUGUUCAGGUCAACAGUCACCAUAGAUGGCCGCACUUUUGAAAGUCCGAAAGACUACAAUACAAAAAAGAAGGCAGAAUCGGCUGCUGCGGCAGCUGCCCUAAUGGCAUUAGCUGACCAAGCAAAACCACUGGAGAAAAUGCUACUGUGUUUCACAGGUCAACGCCUCGGUGCCUGGCGCUGA
rnacentral:rRNA from 1 species